UUUGAAGAGAGAGUUCAAGAGAACGUGAAAUCCUGUUGGUUGAAGCGGAGAGAGUUGACGUAGCUCGGUGGGCUAAGCGCUACUCUACGUGGGUUCGUCCUGCGCGGAGUGCGUGGCGUCUGCUUAUAGCUGCGCUGGCAGCGUUGUCCGAGUUCUCUGACCCGUCUAGUGUUGCCCACUUCGGUGGUGUCUUGCUGGCGGUGAGGUUUGCCGUGUUAACGUUUAGCUUACCUUACGGUGAGUGCCAGUGUGAAGGUCAGCCACCUUUCCGUCCCGUCUUGAAACACGGACCGAGGAGUGUAACUUAUACGCGAGUCAGAGGGUGGUAAACCCAACGGCGCAAUGAAAGUAAAGGUCGGUUUACCGGCUGACAUGGGAUCCGUUCGUAAGAGCGGCGCACCAUGGCCCUGUCUUGAAAGCAUGCUUUUGGGCAGAGGAAGAGCGUAUAGGUUGCGACCCGAAAGAUGGUGAACUAUGCCUGGACAGGA
rnacentral:rRNA from 1 species